ensembl:lncRNA
AGAGCUACAGCGCUGCUCAGCUCCUCGGGGCUCGGGGACACCACAGGCUCUGCGAGUUGCAGGAGAAAACAGCGGGAGAAAAGUCCGGGGGGUGAGCGGCCGGGGGGGCGUGUGUAGGUGUAGCUUGGCAUCUCCCAAAGCCCCCCCCCCCCCCCCCCCCCAGUGCGUGCAGUCCGACAGCUACCGAGGAAAAACAGCGAACGGACACGGAGACGUCACCAACCACGCAACUGGCCUAUUCUGUCAUGGUUGACUGCAGCAGUAAUGGAAGAAAGAGAGAGGAGGAGGAGGAGGAAGAGGAGGAGAAAUAGGGAGAGGGAGAAAAAGAAGGAGCAUCACUUAAAGAAGAGCGAGAAGUUGCUGCAGGACUGGGUAAGUGUUCUCAGCGGGGUCCCAGGCAGCUCCCGCCGAGGGGCUGCAGGCAGCUUUCCCCCCCUGGCACAGCCCCGGCUGCGUGUCCAUGCUGCCUCCCCCCUCACCAUUCCCCCCAUGCUACUCCCUGCCCCAUUCCCAGCCCUGCAGACAGCCAGGCCUCGGCAAAAGACAGCAGCGAGGAUGACAAACGGGGGGCGGGGAGGAGAAGCUCCAUGUCACUCUGCAAAACCAAAACCAAAACCAAAAGAAUACCAAAAAACACCCCAUCGGGAUGCGGCGCGGGGACGGCUCUCCAAUAGCCCGAGGAAGACCUCGCACUUUGCAUCGCUUUCCUUGCUCUGCUUUGGGGCAGCCGAACGUACCCCGCACAGGGAAAUCCACACAAAUGCAUAUAGGUGGGUGUGCACAGAUGAGUGUGAAAGCACGUGCGGCUUGCAAAAACACGCGUGCACGCGAUGCCUUGUGCAAAUGAUGUGGGUGUGCACUGCGCGUGGAGCGCGUCUGAGCGCAGAAUUAUAGAGAUGGGUGAAUAUUCCCGAGUCCUUCUGUCUGUACAGACGGCACAUCACAAAAACCCCCACUUCGUGAGUGUGCAAAUAGCGAGAUGGUCGUGCACACUCGCACAGCAGCACUCGGGCCCCGUCCGUUACACACACCCGUGACUAUUUACAUCCUCCUCCAUGCUUUACGCCCACAUUUUGGGUGCGUGCAGGCAUAAAUCCGCCCCCACCUUCAGCACAGCGUUAGUGCCAAUCUCUCCCCCGGGUGCGUGCAAACUCGUGCACACCCAAAGGCACGGCCGUGUACAAACGGACGUACUCCAUAGGAUCCCUCACCGCACCGCAUCCUGUGGCGCCCGCCCCGCGGCCACUUACCUGCGUGUGCGGGGGGGUGCGUGGCUGCGGCUCCUCGCUGCGAUGCGGACAGCAGGGUCGGCCCCCGCCUUCCUGCCCGGAGGAACCCCCGCACCGUGGGGCCGCAUGGCCGCAGCCCCCCGCCCGCUCGCUGCCCUGGAGGUUUCUCCUUGCUGGUUUUACCCAGGAGAGGUGGAGGGAGGGGGGUGGCCGGGGUGCCGGCUUGCAGUGGGGUCGAAGUGUCAGCAAUAAGAAAUAGUGCCGAGCGUGAACUCGCUCCCCCCACCCCCGAACACACCCUUUAAAACACCACUUCGAGGGUCGGCGGUAGCACAGCCAUCGGCCCCCGCGUUCGGUCGCCGCUGCUCGGGAGAGACCGCGCCCGGGGCCGGCUGCGCUCUGCUCGCAGCCCGGAGCCCAUAGAAAGGGAGCACUUCUUUUUUUUUCCUUCCCAUAGAUUUAGCUCCCCCAUAGCAAGAAUACUCUUUUUCCUUUUUUUUUUUUUCUUUUUUCCUUCAAUUUUUAGGCAUUUUACUUCCCCUCUCCGAUUAAUUCUUCCCUGAUUGUUUUUUUUUUUUUUUUAAUAUAUGUAUAUACAUCCUUUUUUUCUUUUUUUCUUUUUUCCCCUCAUACACGCUUUGGUGAAAUACGCACCAAGUAUAUGAAACCAUCAUCCCCUCUGGAAAUACUUUCAUCCAUUCACUAUUAUUCUUUUUCCUUUAAAGUGCCGGGGCAGAGACGCUCUGGAUGGAUUUAAGGGUUUAUCAGAAACCCUCAGUCUCAAAGUAACGCUAAUACAGUUCUCUUCGUGUCAGUAUUUCCAUCGCUAAAACCCCGCAUUUAGUGCUCUACAAUUUUGCCCCCCCCCUCCCCCCCCGGAUAGAUGUGUGGGUCGAGCUUUUUGUUUUACGUUUAGCAGCUGCAGGUGAACAGCAUUUCUCUUUAAAAGUUUGCGGUUUCGGUCCUUCUUUCUGCCCUUCUCGUUACUUAAAAAUAAAGUUUGCAAUUAAAAAACACCCCCCCCCCCCCCCCCACACACACACACACAGUCUAUUCAUUUCCCAGGCGAACUGCAGACUUUAAAGCAGCGAUGGGAAGGAAGCAUAGAGGGCAGAGGCAGAGCUGCAAAGCCCCCUCCUCAGCUCUUCCUCUGGGCACAGCGUUGCCCAGGUGAGGGGCCGCUGGGUUUCCCUUCCCAUUCCCCCUUCUCACGGUGCCACCCGCGGUGACUUCGCGGCACAGAGUGCCCCACGAUUCCCUCCCUGCCCCACUUGAUGGCUCCUGAUGGAGCGGGGCGCGUUACUGAUGCCGGAAUAGAGCCGCUAAUCUGCUAUUGCCAAACAGGGUGUCAAUCAGGACUUUAUCUCGGGCCGAAGGAGAAAAUAAAAGAAGAUAAGGCCUCGCUCUCACCCUGGGAAGAAAGCUAAUGGGGCAAGAGGGGGAAAGUCUUCAGCGCCCCGUGCCUCUCCCGGAUAGUGUUCUUGUAGUGACCUUGAGCUGCUGCCGGGGUGGGCAGAAGGGCCUGAGCCGAGCGGCUGCUCCCAUCCUCUGCCCGAGGGACACCUGCGAUUUUCAGUUGUCCCCUCCUUUGCCCCAAGGCGGCCCCACCGCCGCCCGUGGAAGCCGACCCCCGGCGUCGCGCAGCCCCCGGGCCCGCUUCCUCCCUCCCUGACAUCCUUCCUAUUUUUUUUCUUUCUCAUCUUCCUCCUUGCCAAUCCCUCUCUCCUUCUUCCUUCCUUUUCUCGUUUUUCCUUUUUUUUUCCCCUCUCCCCACGUCCUCCAUCUUCCCCCCUUCUCCCGCCCCCGCCCCGCACAGCGAAAACUCAGACAAGGCUGGCAGAGCCGUCGUGAGCACAUCCUUCACCUUAACCGAACCUCACAAAUUUCGGGACCCUUUCCUAGCCCCAUUACCAACCCCACUCCCAGACUCAAUUCCCAGCCCCGUUCUCAUCCCCAUUCACAGCCCCGCGUCUCGUACUACGGCCGUAACCCGGCUCCGUGUGGCUGCCCCGGGCAUCCCAGAAAUACUCGCUGUGCUCAAGGUGAAAAUACAGAUUAUACAUAUCACC